rnacentral:rRNA from 1 species
CCUACGGGUGGCAGCAGUGAGGAAUAUUGGUCAAUGGACGAGAGUCUGAACCAGCCAAGUAGCGUGAAGGAUGACUGCGCUAUGGGUUGUAAACUUCUUUUAUAUGGGAAUAAACUGUUCCACGUGUGCGCUUUUGUAUGUACCUUAUGAAUAACGCUCGGCUAACUCCGUGCCAGCAGCCGCGGUAAUCCGGUGGGUCCGAUCGUUAUCCGGAUUUAUUGGUCUUAAAGGGUGCGUAGGUGGGUUGUGAAGUCAGUUGUGAAAGUUUGCGGCUCAACCGGAAAAUUGCAGUUGAAACUGGCAGUCUGGAGUACAGUAGAGGUAGGCGGAAUGCGUGGUGUAGCGGUGAAAUGCAUAGAUAUCACGAAGAACUCCGAUUGCGAAGGCAGCUCACUGGACUGCAACUGACACUGAGGCACGAAAGUGUGGGUAGCAAACAGGAUUAGAUACCCUUGUAGUC